GAUGAAGAACGCAGCGAAAUGCGAUAAGUAAUGUGAAUUGCAGAAUUCCGUGAAUCAUCGAAUCUUUGAACGCACAUUGCGCCCGCCAGUAUUCUGGCGGGCAUGCCUGUCCGAGCGUCAUUUCAACCCUCGAACCCCUCCGGGGGGUCGGCGUUGGGGAUCGGCCCUGCCUUUGGCGGUGGCCGUCUCCGAAAUACAGUGGCGGUCUCGCCGCAGCCUCUCCUGCGCAGUAGUUUGCACACUCGCAUCGGGAGCGCGGCGCGUCCACAGCCGUUAAACACCCAACUUCUGAAAUGUUGACCUCGGAUCAGGUAGGAAUACCCGCUGAACUUAAGCAUAUCAAUAAGCGGAGGA
rnacentral:misc_RNA from 1 species